rnacentral:rRNA from 1 species
GGAUUAGAUACCCUGGUAGUCCAUGCUGUAAACGAUGAGUACUAGCUGUAGGAAUCGGUGUUAAGGUUCUUGUGGCGUAGCUAACGCGCUAAGUACUCCGCCUGGGGAUUACGGCCGCAAGGCUAAAACUCAAAGGAAUUGACGGGGACCCGCACAAGCGGUGGAGCAUGUGGUUUAAUUCGAUGCAACGCGAAGAACCUUACCUACCCUUGACAUACUGAGAACGAUUUAGAGAUAGAUCGGUGCCUUCGGGAAUUCAGAUACAGGUGCUGCAUGGCUGUCGUCAGCUCGUGUCG